AGCUCACUGCAACCUCGACCUGGGUUCAAGUGAGGGGAUCAGAUUUCAACAUGAGGUUUUGAAGGAAAAAAUAUUCAAACCAUAGCACUGAGUGUUUUUUGUUUUUUAUGGGGUUUUUUGGUUUGUUUGUUUGUUUAAUCUGUGGGGGCUUCUCUGGGUCGUCAUGUGAAUUGCUGAUAGUGAACAUUUAAUCCCCAUCACUCUGUAAUGUAGUUGCAUCUGUGGGGCCAGCUGCCUUAACAACUUCCUGGAUGGCAUCACUGGGGUCUGUGAAGGGCUGUGUGUGUGCACACAAACACUCAUGCACACGCACUUCUGGAUGGCCUGUGUGAGCACUGACUGGGUGACCUGUGUGUGCCUGGCCCGCCUGACUGGGACGUCCAUGCGUCUUUCUGUUUGCAACUAUGUUUCAGUGUUUCUGACCCAGACCCUGUGCUCUGGUAUCUCUGAAGCUGCCAGGCUUGAAGGGCAUGUUAAUGUCCUGUUGCUG
rnacentral:lncRNA from 1 species